rnacentral:rRNA from 1 species
CUGGAGGUAUCAGAAGUGCGAAUGCUGACAUAAGUAACGAUAAAGCGGGUGAAAAGCCCGCUCGCCGGAAGACCAAGGGUUCCUGUCCAACGUUAAUCGGGGCAGGGUGAGUCGACCCCUAAGGCGAGGCCGAAAGGCGUAGUCGAUGGGAAACGGGUUAAUAUUCCCGUACUUGGUGUUACUGCGAAGGGGGGACGGAGAAGGCUAUGUUGGCCGGGCGACGGUUGUCCCGGUUUAAGCGUGUAGGUGUGUGUUCCAGGUAAAUCCGGUUCACUUUAACACUGAGGCGUGAUGACGAGG